AAACAUUUGAUUUAUAAGUGAGUAAAUGGAACAAAAAGGAGAAGUGAGAGGAGUGACUCAUUACAGAAUGACUGAGUGGCAGUGGCAACAACCAUUUACCACCACCAUACUGAGCCACCCCCACCUAGCCAUUUGUAUUUUAAAAAUAACAUACAGGGUCUGGCUAAGUUACUGAGGCUGGCCAUGAACUUGCGUUCCUCUUGCCUCAGUCUCUUGGGUAGCAGGGAUGACAGGCUUGCGCCACCAGUCCCCUCUACUUUUCUCUAUGCUUUUCUUUAUGCUUGAAAAUAAAUCAUCUUCAUUUGGGAAAAAAUCAUGUACAAUUCAAUGUAAAACCAGCUUUGCAAUAUUGAUUACAGGUUUUGGGAAAUCUCCUAUGACUGUGUACGGGUAAAAAUUUAGAGAAUAACAAAGUUAUUUUAGUGCUGUUCAAUAUUUAUGUUAAUGAUGAGUACUUAUUUUACUGAAGCUCUUUUAGAAGACCAAAGAGUGAACAUAAACUAAAUUUGUAAAAUAUAGGAAAAGGCCAAAAGGGACAGAUAUUUAACCAAAGUUUUAGUAUAUCCAUAAUGUAACAAUAACAAGUGGGGUAAAAAUUUAAUGACAAACUAAGCUAGUACCAGGAGAAUGCUCUGGCCAUCAAAUUUCUAAAAUGUUGGGACAUGCCCUAAUUGGGUUCAGCUUAUGCUUAUCUGUCACCAGAAGGAUAAUGGAGUCAUUGUGCAAUCACCUUGCUUCAUAGUGCUGAGGAAAAAAUUGAAUUUAGGUAUGGAAAAGCAAUCACACAUGAAUAUAGAAACAGAAUGAUUUUAGAAGCACAAACCUUAAUCAUAUGUUAUUCUAUUUUCUAUCUCUGAAGCAGACAUUUUAAGUUAAUAGAAAUAACCACUUAGGAAUUUUUUGUAUAUUAUAGAGUUUACCAUGGGGAGAAAGUGCCUGUGUAUGAUUGUGCACGUGUGUUGGCGUGUAUACCGUGUGCACAGGCUGGUUAGCUCUGAGGAAAUAAGAACAGCUUCGAUGGCUCUGAAAAGUCAAAAGAUGAUUUAGGUGUGUGUUAUAUUAGUAGUAAUAAGACUAUGCUGUAUUCCUUUAUGAUGAGGACACAUUUCUUCAUUCUGAUUACAGGUUUAUGAUUCAUAUGCCCAUUGAAAACCCAGUUGAUUGCUAUUUCAUCUAGAGAUUAGACACUGGGCCUUUCUUUUCUUGAGGUAGCCUGGUUCUCUAAUGGCUAGCAGAACUGUUACUUUGCAGUGUGCGAUGCAAACAUAUCCAGUUUGGAAUAAAAUAAAAUGAAUGUUAUUUUCAGUUUCUAUGAUGUUCAACACUUUGGAGAACUCUUGAAUUUUGGUGUGCAAAGGGGCAAGUGAUGAUUCACUGAGCGCCAUCCUAAUAAAUACUAAAUAAGCCUCCAUGCUUGGGAUGUGGGAGUAAGAAUCAGUUUGGCUAUUUGGUUUACCCAGUAAAAGAGCUGAUAGAAUUUCUGCCUAGAGAGCUAUAAUUCCUUCAUUAACUCUGUGACUACUGAGCUACAGAAUAAAUGUUUGCAUAGACAAUGUUUACACAAUUCAAAGUAGUUAAAUAUAAGAUGUUAACCUCAGUCCUGACAUUAUUUUCUGCUUGUCACUAUUUUCUUGCAGCCUGGGUAUAAAUGUGUAUAAAACUGUAGGAAGUCUGUUUUUCCAAAAGACAGUUUAAUUUUAUAUUUUUGAAAAUAAAGCCAUGAUAGAAUAUACUUGUAUUAUUUUACUUCUUUUUACCAUGUAUGUACCUUGUUACUGCCAAGGAUGAACUUCAAUGGGGAUUUUACUUGUAUAUAUUGUUUUGAUAAAUUAUGUAGGUAUACAUGUGCAUGUGUAUAUAUGAAGGUGAGUAUGAUUUCUUACGAUUUUCAAGAUGUCCAAUUUUUAUGUUAUUUGGGGGAAUUAAACUUUGGUUAAGAAUGAAAAGUGGUUUGAUAAUUACUUAAGAUGUGUAUCCGUUUAUGGAAAAUAAGCUUAUUUUUCUGGUUUUGGCAUUUUUCUCAGCAGAGUUUCAAUGACUCAGUUAUUCACAUGUGUUCAUCUAUCAUGCAUCUAUAUCAUACAUAUUCAUAUAUUCAUGUUCAUCAUGGAAGGGAACUGAGUUCAACUGAACUUUGUUUGCCCCACCUUGAUAUAUGCAACCAACAACCUAUGUUCUAUUC
rnacentral:lncRNA from 1 species